rnacentral:rRNA from 1 species
UUUUUAUUGAGAGUUUGAUCCUGGCUCAGGACGAACGCUGGCGGCGUGCCUAACACAUGCAAGUCGAGCGAUGAAGUUUCCUUCGGGAAAUGGAUUAGCGGCGGA